rnacentral:rRNA from 1 species
AGGAAAGAGGGGGGAGUGCCUAAUACAUGCAAGUCGAGCGAACAGACGAGGAGCUUGCUCCUCUGACGUUAGCGGCGGACGGGUGAGUAACACGUGGAUAACCUACCUAUAAGACUGGGAUAACUUCGGGAAACCGGAGCUAAUACCGGAUAAUAUAUUGAACCGCAUGGUUCAAUAGUGAAAGACGGUUUUGCUGUCACUUAUAGAUGGAUCCGCGCCGCAUUAGCUAGUUGGUAAGGUAACGGCUUACCAAGGCAACGAUGCGUAGCCGACCUGAGAGGGUGAUCGGCCACACUGGAACUGAGACACGGUCCAGACUCCUACGGGAGGCAGCAGUAGGGAAUCUUCCGCAAUGGGCGAAAGCCUGACGGAGCAACGCCGCGUGAGUGAUGAAGGUCUUCGGAUCGUAAAACUCUGUUAUUAGGGAAGAACAAAUGUGUAAGUAACUAUGCACGUCUUGACGGUACCUAAUCAGAAAGCCACGGCUAACUACGU